rnacentral:rRNA from 1 species
CAUUGUGCUUGCACAGAUGACGACCGGCGCACGGGUGCGUAACGCGUAUAGAACCUACCUUUUACAGAGGAAUAGCCUUUAGAAAUGAAGAUUAAUGCCUCAUAGUAUUGUAGACUGGCAUCAGUUUAUAAUUAAAGAUUUAUCGGUAAAAGAUGGCUAUGCGUCCUAUUAGUUAGUUGGUAAGGUAACGGCUUACCAAGACAGCGAUAGGUAGGGGUCCUGAGAGGGAGAUCCCCCACACUGGUACUGAGACACGGACCAGACUCCUACGGGAGGCAGCAGUGAGGAAUAUUGGACAAUGGAGGAGACUCUGAUCCAGCCAUGCCGCGUGUAGGAAGAAUGCCCUAUGGGUUGUAAACUACUUUUAUACAGGAAGAAACACUGGUAUGUAUACCAGCUUGACGGUACUGUAAGAAUAAGGACCGGCUAACUCCGUGCCAGCAGCCGCGGUAAUACGGAGGGUCCGAGCGUUAUCCGGAAUCAUUGGGUUUAAAGGGUCCGCAGGCGGUCGAUUAAGUCAGAGGUGAAAUCCCAUAGCUCAACUAUGGAACUGCCUUUGAUACUGGUUGACUUGAGUCAUAUGGAAGUAGAUAGAAUGUGUA